GGGUCCAUAGCUCAGUUGGUUAGAGCAGCGGUCUCAUAAACCGCUGGUCCCCCGUUCAAGUCGGGGUGGACCCACCA
rnacentral:tRNA from 1 species